rnacentral:rRNA from 1 species
UUCCAGACUCCUACGGAGGCAGCAGUGGGGAAUAUUGGGCAAUGGGCGCAAGCCUGACCCAGCAACGCCGCGUGAAGGAAGAAGGCUUUCGGGUUGUAAACUUCUUUUAUGAGGGACGAAAGAAAUGACGGUACCUCAUGAAUAAGCCACAGCUAACUACGUGCCAGCAGCCGCGGUAAUACGUAGGUGGCAAGCGUUAUCCGGAUUUACUGGGUGUAAAGGGCGUGUAGGCGGGACUGCAAGUCAGAUGUGAAAAUUAGGGGCUCAACCCAUAACCUGCAUUUGAAACUGUAGUUCUUGAGUGAUGGAGAGGCAGGCGGAAUUCCGUGUGUAGCGGUGAAAUGCGUAGAUAUACGGAGGAACACCAGUGGCGAAGGCGGCCUGCUGGACAUUAACUGACGCUGAGGCGCGAAAGCGUGGGGAGCAAACAGGAUUAGAUACCCUUGUAC